GAUAUUGUCAAAGAAUCGAAAAAAUUUAUAGAUUACAGUAAUUUGGACACUUUGCCAGAAGCAGAUAUAUAUUACCAGUAUCUUUUGCAUGUUAUUAUACAAAAAGCAUCUC